rnacentral:rRNA from 3 species
GACUGAGGGGGGCUGCUCCUAGUACGAGAGGACCGGAGUGGACGCAUCACUGGUGUUCGGGUUGUCAUGCCAAUGGCACUGCCCGGUAGCUAAAUGCGGAAGAGAUAAGUGCUGAAAGCAUCUAAGCACGAAACUUGCCCCGAGAUGAGUCUUCCCUGAGACUUUAAGUCUCCUGAAGGAACGUUAAAGACGAUGACGUUGAUAGGCCGGGGGUGUAAGCGCAGCGAUGCGUUGAGCUAACCGGUACUAAUGAACCGUGAGGCUUAACCUUACAACGCCGAAGCUGUU